rnacentral:lncRNA from 1 species
UCAGGGGGCUGGGUUGACGGCAUGGGUGGCAGCUACCUACAGUAAUAUCUGAGGAUGAAAGUCUCCAAACGCUGCGUAAUAGUUAGACAGAGUUCGAUAAGUCAAGCAUUUUCGAUCUUAAGAAGUCUACUAUCUUGUUGGGCAGGUAGUCAAUGACGGUGUCAUGGAGACUAGAGGAUGUACCUGCCUGGCAGCGCUACCACUGCGGGCUCCGUCAGCGCGGUGAUCAUGAAGCCUAGAGUAAAGGAGCCCGAACGCCUAUAGGAAAAAUUUAAAACCAGAAACACGUACCCUGCAAUUAAAGCUUUUUCACGACAUGUAUUUACGCCUUUGAUUUUGGCUUGAUAAUCAAACUCACGAAACCAUAUUUAUUUCCGUAACGUCCAAGAACGUUACAGUAUUAUAAACGUAGACCCUGAAAGUGGUGAAAAUUUGGGUUCGAAAUGCAGCCACGGGAAACGCUAGUGCUGCGAAGAUAGGAGAUGGGUUGCGUAUAUACGACCGUGAUUUACACGUCAUUCUUGGCUUUUCGUCUUUGCACGUAUAAACGAGUUUUGCAAAGAUUUUCUUAUUGUGAUAAAAAUCAGCGUCUUAAGGUGUAGUGAGUGAUUGCCCCACAUUAUGUCUAAGCAGCAGAGUGCACAAUGGGGAAAUAUUGUUCUUACCCAGGCUGCUGAACUGGGAGAGAUGCCAGCAGAGUAAACUGCAAGCGCUUAGGACGAUGGCAGCACAAUCAUAGCGUAAGAAGACGCAUCGCGAGUAUUCUCGUACAGAUGGCCUCGCUGCACAAGACAAAACUUCCACCAGGCAGAACGAACGCUCAGUAUUACGAGGAGCUCGAGGCCGAACAAAAGCUGCUCAAUAAGAUGGGCGAGUUUCUUGUCGAUCACCGGUGGUCGAAGGGAUGUUUUCGAGAGCAGCACGUCGCAGGUGUUCAAGAGCUCGACCGAUCGGAAUGUCGUCUCGAGCGGUAUACCGAGUGUGUGGAAAUCGACUGAUCAUCUGUGCAUCCUGUGAUGCAACCAAUUUGUCCAGAUGAAUCUUUGCGCGCUUUUUGACUGUGUGGAUAUGAAAACUCGUCCGCCUAAUAUAACUUACGACUCGGAAUGGAAAAUUCGUGCCCAUGAUUGUUAUUUCCGAAGCGUAAGUUGAUCGUUGAGAAUUUUUAGAGAUUCUUUACAAGCUUGUACAAUCGUAACGUGAUGUUACAAUAUUUCCAGCGUACAUUCGAAAAAAACGUCUUCCAUACGAGGACAAGACGAAAUUCGAGCCCGGAAGCGAAUGGAUCAAAGACAUCAUUAGACAAUACAUUUGGAGUCGGAAAGCCGUUUUUCAAUUAGAACAUAUCACUGAUUGAAUUUGGUUUCAUAGAUUUUUUCAAAAAAUUGUCACUCGAGAACGGGAUGGAAAAGAAAAAUGUAAAAAAAUAUGGUAGCCUUUACUAAUGUGAGUGAACGACAUACAAAAUUUCGAGUCGAAUCGAAAAGGGUGAGGGUCGGAGCCUGGUCGAAUUCGGGUGGAAUGCUCCAUAUAAAUUGUUCACUGAGAAAACAUUAGUUUCAUCGUGUUGAGUAGAAGAACAAUUGAGUUCGUCGGGCCAUCCGGAGCUGGACAAUUCAUGAUAAUGCGGUAAUUGUCGAGGGUCUGCGAUGAAAAUUUCGCUCUUGGAUGAACUUCGAUUUAGGUAAAAAUCGAUUUAUUUACACAGUUCCGCAGUUUACCGCAUUGUUAAUAUUAUUUAUUGUUAAAAAAUGUUUGUUUUGUUGUUUGAAAAUGUUUGUUUCCUAUCUGUACGAAAAAACACAUUCCUAUUGUGCAGUAAAUAAUAAUUUUUUAAUAAAAUUGUUAUGUUUUGUCGUUUAAAAAUUUUUGUUUCCUAUCUGUGUGAAAAAGGACA